CCUGGCUCAGAUUGAACGCUGGCGGCAUGCCUAACACAUGCAAGUCGAACGGCAGCAUCAUCUAGCUUGCUAGAUAGAUGGCGAGUGGCGAACGGGUGAGUAACGCGUAGGAAUAUACCUUAAAGAGGGAGGCAACUUGGGGAAACUCAAGCUAAUACCGCAUAAUUUCUUAGGAAAAAAGCUGGGGACCGUAAGGCCUGGCGCUUUAAGAUUAGCCU
rnacentral:rRNA from 1 species